AGUGGCGGACGGGUGAGUAACACGUGAGCAACCUGCCUUUCAGAGGGGGAUAACGUUUGGAAACGAACGCUAAUACCGCAUAACAUCUACUGGUGGCAUCACCGGGAGAUCAAAGGAGUAAUCCGCUGAAAGAUGGGCUCGCGCCCGAUUAGAUAGUUGGUGAGGUAAUGGCUCACCAAGUCUGCGAUCGGUAGCCGGACUGAGAGGUUGAUCGGCCACAUUGGGACUGAGACACGGCCCAGACUCCUACGGGAGGCAGCAGUGGGGAAUAUUGCACAAUGGGGGAAACCCUGAUGCAGCGACGCCGCGUGAGUGAAGACGGUCUUCGGAUUGUAAAGCUCUGUCUUCGGGGACGAUAAUGACGGUACCCGAGGAGGAAGCCACGGCUAACUACGUGCCAGCAGCCGCGGUAAUACGUAGGUGGCGAGCGUUGUCCGGAAUUACUGGGUGUAAAGGGAGCGCAGGCGGGGAGCCAAGUUGGAUGUGAAAUACCGCAGCUCAACUGCGGGGCUGCAUCCAAAACUGGUUCUCUUGAGUGAAGUAGAGGUAGGCGGAAUUCCUAGUGUAGCGGUGAAAUGCGUAGAUAUUAGGAGGAACACCAGUGGCGAAGGCGGCCUACUGGGCUUUAACUGACGCUGAGGCUCGAAAGCGUGGGGAGC
rnacentral:rRNA from 1 species